rnacentral:rRNA from 1 species
GCUCAGGAUGAACGCUGGCGGCGAUGCUUAACACAUGCAAGUCGAACGAAGCACUUUAUUUGAUUUCUUCGGAAUGAAGAUUUUGUGACUGAGUGGCGGGCGGGUGAGUAACGCGUGGGUAACUUGCCUCAUACAGGGGGAUAACAGUUGGAAACGACUGCUAAUACCGCAUAAGCGCACAGGGUCGCAUGACCUGGUGUGAAAAACUCCGGUGGUAUGAGAUGGACCCGCGUCUGAUUAGCCAGUUGGUGGGGUGACGGCCUACCAAAGCGACGAUCAGUAGCCGACCUGAGAGGGUGACCGGCCACAUUGGGACUGAGACACGGCCCAAACUCCUACGGGAGGCAGCAGUA